rnacentral:rRNA from 1 species
AGAGUUUGAUCAUGGCUCAGGAUGAACGCUAGCGGCAGGCCUAAUACAUGCAAGUCGAACGAUAUCAAUGGGCUUGCUCAUUGGAAAAGUGGCGCACGGGUGCGUAACGCGUAUGAAACCUACCUUUAUCUGGGGGAUAGCCUUUCGAAAGAAAGAUUAACACCGCAUAACAUCACGAAAGGGCAUCCUUUUUUGAUCAAAUAUUUAUAGGAUAAAGAUGGUCAUGCGUGACAUUAGCUAGUUGGAGAGGUAAUGGCUCACCAAGGCGACGAUGUCUAGGGGAUCUGAGAGGAUGACCCCCCACACUGGUACUGAGACACGGACCAGACUCCUACGGGAGGCAGCAGUAAGGAAUAUUGGUCAAUGGGCGCAAGCCUGAACCAGCCAUGCCGCGUGCAGGAAGACGGCCCUACGGGUUGUAAACUGCUUUUAUUCGUGAAUAAAUCACCUUACGUGUAAGGUGUUGAAAGUAGCGAAAGAAUAAAGGAUCGGCUAACUCCGUGCCAGCAGCCGCGGUAAUACGGAGGAUCCAAGCGUUAUCCGGGAUUUAUUGGGUUUAAAGGGUGC